CCUUCUGGUGCCCCUGGCCCGGGCACCUGGGCCUGGCGACGCUGCGGCCAGCCGAGCGGAGUGAGGAGCCAGAGUGUGUACAUACGUGUAUUGCUUUAACCAGCCGCGUCACCUUCGUCCUGCUCUGGCUUUUGCCUCCUUCACGCCAGCCCGCUGCAGUAGACCCUCCCGUCCGCACCCCUCCCCAUCCCAUCUUCCGGCCCCGCGGCUUCCUGAGGAGACAGGCUCGAGUUCUAGCCACACCUUUAGCCAACCUGGGCUGGUGGAGCGGGCCUUCUUCGUUACAUGUUCUCUCCUACAGGCUUUCACCUUCUGUCCCUGGCACAUCGGGUUGCCCCCUCUCUCGGGGGGCCUGUGUUGUGUCUCUUCCCGGCCCAGCUCCCUUCCCUCCCCUACCCCGCCCCACCCCUGUAACCAUUCUGGCAGCUGGGGGAAACCUGGCCUGGAGGUAGGCCUGGGGGUUCCCAUUAGAGGCCUAGCCUUUUGGUCACCAGAUUUCUUGUCCUGCCUUCUAGAUGCCUCUGAACUACAACCCCAGGGAAACCGUGGCUUUUAAUUUAUACCAACCUGUUUCAGUUCCAACAGAAAGGUAGGGGUGUGUUUGUGCAGGGAAGGGGGCUUGCAGGGGCACCGAGGAGCGUUAUUUUAACACAUAAAGAAAAUGAAGCCAAAUCAAAUGAAUUAAAUUCCUCACACUUUCUCUUCCUGAGGUUUGGUUGGCACAGCAGCAAACGUUGUGGCCUCUCCACUUUGGGUCCAGUGUUUUUAGAAAAAUUGAAUGGCUUCCUGUCAUUGUGGGGCUGGGCUCUUGGCAGAGCAGCCUCGCCUUCCUGGCCGUUUCUUGGUGGGAGAGGAGAACGGGCCUCCUGCCCUCGUCUCUGUCGGCCCAGGGCUCUCCAGGGAGCUCCCGGGUCUCUGUCGCAGCACCAGGCAGCCCUGGAUGUGAGGGGUGGGUGCCAGGCACUGCUGGGCGGUGGGGACGCCACCUCAGAGGUGGACGGCAGCCUACCCUGAUCACUGGCGGGACUGGUUCAGUGCAGAGGCAGUGGGAGGACUUGUUAGCGGCUGGGAAGGGUGGCAGCCCGGGGCUGGGAGCCGGCCAGCUUUGACCGUGGUCCCCUGGAGGAAAAAGCCAGGGUCAUCUGCACUUGAUUACUGUCCCCCUUGGGACACUUCAUCAUUCACCUUUCCCCUAAAAGGAUCACGUAACCUGGGAGUAAUUUAUUUCAACACCAUGAUGUGUUUUAUUAGAUUUCCUUUCCUAGGCGAAUUCCAGGCAAAGCCCUGAUUGGACAAUCACAUCACAGAUCACACUGCAGAUUUUCCAUGUUAUCACUGUUGAUGGGUUUUCAGCCAAUACUGACCUGUCUCUCCACUUCCCCAGACUGCCAAAAGCCUGUGGUUCUCUGGGAGCAGGCCUUCACUGGAACUACCUGACGAGGGCUGUGCUGGGUGACCAGAGGUCCUGUGCAGGACGCAGAGAGCUCGAGACCCCUGGGCGGGCAGCGUUCUCAACUCUGAGCACUCACGUGUCGUCAGUGUGGCAGUGCUUGCAAAUUCAAGCAAUAAGGGGAAGGGGUCCUGGAAGUUUCCAGCCUGGGCUAGAAGACACUAUGGCUCUGGCCACUGGACGUCCAGACCCAGGUGGUGGGGUGAUUUUGGUGACGACAGUGUGCCUGUCCCACUGAGUGUUACACGCAUGAAUAGGGGGUGGGGGUGGGGGUGGGGGGCUCACAGGGCUGGACUGACGUCCUGGUGGACCUGAUGUGAAAUUCCUGUCGAACAACAAAACUUUUAAAUGGUUUGCUAGGAUUAUUUCUGUAUUGAAAGUUUCUAAUUAUGCUUUUUAAAAAAAUACUAAAAAUAAAGGUUCAAGCUGCCAAAUUUU